rnacentral:rRNA from 1 species
ACGAACGCUGGCGGCGUGCUUAACACAUGCAAGUCGAACGGAAAGGCCCCUUUGGGGGUACUCGAGUGGCGAACGGGUGAGUAACACGUGAGUAACCUGCCCUUGACUUCGGGAUAACUUCAGGAAACUGGGGCUAAUACCGGAUAGGAAUCCUUGCUGCAUGGUGGGGGUUGGAAAGCUUCGGCGGUUUUGGAUGGACUCGCGGCUUAUCAGCUUGUUGGUGGGGUAGUGGCUUACCAAGGCUUUGACGGGUAGCCGGCCUGAGAGGGCGACCGGCCACAUUGGGACUGUGAUACGGCCCAGACUCCUACGGGAGGCAGCAGUGGGGAAUAUUGCACAAUGGGCGGAAGCCUGAUGCAGCAACGCCGCGUGCGGGAUGACGGCCUUCGGGUUGUAAACCGCUUUCAGCAGGGGCGAAGCUUGUGGUGACGGUACCUGCAGAAGAAGCACCGGCUAACUACGUG